ensembl:lncRNA
AUGGCUUCGGCUGCUUCAGAGCACAUCAACCCUCGCUUCUGGGGGCUGUUUUGUGAGCAUGUCAGGGCUGUGUGCACCUCGCCGGCUCCAUGGGGCCGGCUGUACGGAUUAAAUCGAUUGGACGAUUUAAUCGUUGUCGUGCCGCAGUUCCACGCAAUUCCGGGAGUUCCGGAAUUGGUCACGUGGUUCCCCGCGCUACGGGAGGAGUUGGCUGCCCAGUGGGCCGGACGCCCGCCAUCACAGGGGGAUCUAGCACUGCGGUCUGGAUUUUUGGCAGCGGCCAGAACAGCGGUGGCCUAUUUUUAUUCAGGGGCGCCAACAGACUCUCAACCGGCAGCGGUUUCUGCCGUAGCUCCGCCCACGGCUCCCGUCACUCAGAUGGAGACCGUGCCCGGAGCUGUUUGUCUCUCUCCCUCCGAGGCUCGGAGUAUAUUGAAGGAGCUGAAGGGACAGGGUGAUGGAACGGUGGAUUUUAAACGGACAAUUAAGCCACGUUCGACCAUAUCCGUUCCUGGUGGUCUGGAGAUGACCACGGCCGUUCCUGGUGGUCUGGAGAAGGCCAUGUCUGUUCCUGAGGGUGGUCCGGUUCCGGCUCCACGUCUGGUUUCGUCUCCGGUUCCGGCUCCACGUCCACGUCUGGUUUCGUCUCCGGUUCCGGCUCCACGUCUGGUUUCGGCUCCGGUUCCGGCUCCACGUCUGGUUUCGGCUCCGGUUCAGGCUCCACGUCUGGUUUCGUCUUUGUCUCCGGUUCCGGCUCCACGUCCACGUCUGGGUUCGUCUCCGGUUCCGGCUCCACGUCCACGUCUGGUUUCGUCUCCGGUUCCGGCUCCACGUCCGCGUCUGGUUUCGUCUCCGGUUCCGGCUCCAAGUCUGGUUUCGUCUCCGGUUCCGGCUCCACGUCUGGUUUCGUCUCUGUCUCCGUCUCCGGCUCCACGUCUGGUUUCGGCUCCGGUUCCGGCUCCACGUCUGGUUUCGUCUUUGUCUCCGGUUCCGGCUCCACGUCCACGUCUGGUUUCGUCUCCGGUUCCGGCUCCACGUCCGCGUCUGGUUUCGUCUCCGGUUCCGGCUCCAAGUCUGGUUUCGUCUCCGGUUCCGGCUCCACGUCUGGUUUCGUCUCUGUCUCCGUCUCCGGCUCCACGUCUGGUUUCGUCUCCGGUUCCGGCUCCAUGUCUGGUUUCGUCUCCGGUCCCGGCUCCACGUCUGGUUUCGUCUCUGUCUCCGUCUCCGGCUCCACGUCUGGUUUCGUCUCCGGUCCCGGCUCCACGUCUGGUUUCGUCUCUGUCUCCGUCUCCGUCUCCACGUCUGGUUUCGUCUCCGGUCCCGGCUCCACGUCUGGCUUCGUCUUUGGCUCCGGUUCCGGCUCCACGUCUGGCUUCGUCUCCAGUUCCGGCUCCACGUCUGGUUUCGUCUCCGGUUCCGGCUCCACGUCUGCCCUCCAAGAAGGGCGCUUCUCUGAGGGUGGGGCUGCUUCUGGUUUCCCCGAGGGCAGCACCUCGUACGGUUCCUGUCGUCAAGCCACGUUUGACCCUUGAGGUUCCUGGUGGUCCAGUGGAGGCCACGUUUCGUCGCGGUGGUCCGAAGAGGACGCCGUUGGUUCCUGUGCGUCGCGGUGGUCCAAAGAGGACGCCGUUGGUUCCUGUUCGUCGCGGUGGUCCAAAGAGGACGCCGCUGGUUCCUGUUCGUCGCGGUGGUCCAAAGAGGACGCCGCUGGUUCCUGUUCGUCGCGGUGGUUCAAGGAGGACGCCGCUGGUUCCUGUUCGUCGCGGUGGUCCAAGGAGGACGCCGCUGGUUCCUGUUCGUCGCGGUGGUCCAGGGAGGACGCCGCUGGUUCCCGUUUGUCGUUGCGGUGGUCCAGGGAGGACGCCGCUGGUUUCCGUUUGUCGUCGCGGUGGUCCAGGGAGGACGCCGCUGGUUCCCGUUUGUCGUCGCGGUGGUCCAAGGAGGACGCCGCUGGUUCCCGUUUGUCGUCGCGGUGGUCCAAGGAGGACGCCGCUGGUUCCUGUUCGUCGGCGCGGAGGUCCAAGGAGGACGCCGCUGGUUCCCGUUCGUCGGCGCGGUGGUCCAAGGAGGACGCCGCUGGUUCCCGUUCGUCGGCGCGGUGGUCCAAGGAGGACGCCACUGGUUCCCGUUCGUCUUGGUGGUCCACAAGGGGCCUUAGGGCUCAUGGGGGCUAUGCCACCGGACUGGUCGCCUUGCCGCCAUAAUCACCCGCUGCUACGCUGGCUCUGCCUCUACCGUCGACGCCCACUCAGGGAGCUGGGCCCGUGUUCAGGGGCACCAGGAGUGCCAGUCGACUCCCAGCGGCUGCUGGGUUGGACCCUGCCUCGUUGGCACCCACCAUGA